UACGUAGGAGACGAGCGUUGUCCGGAGUUAUUGGGCGUAAAGGGUGCGUAGGCGGUUUGGUAAGUCUUAUGUGAAAUCUACAGGCUCAACUUGUAGUCUGCAUGAGAAACUGCCGGGCUUGAGUAUGGGAGAGGUGAGUGGAAUUCCUGGUGUAGCGGUGAAAUGCGUAGAUAUCGCUUGGAACGCCAAAGGUGAAAACAGGUUGCUGGGGUUGUGCCGACGCUGAGACACGAAAGCCAGGGGAGCAAACGGG
rnacentral:rRNA from 1 species